UACGAAGGGUGCUAGCGUUGUUCGGAAUCACUGGGCGUAAAGGGCGCGUAGGCGGCUUUACAAGUCAGAGGUGAAAGCCUGGAGCUCAACUCCAGAAUUGCCUUUGAAACUGUAAAGCUUGAGUGUCGGAGGGGAUAGCGGAAUUGCUAAUGUAGAGGUGAAAUUCGUAGAUAUUAGCAGGAACACCGGUGGCGAAGGCGGCUAUCUGGACGACAACUGACGCUGAGGCGCGAAAGCGUGGGGAGCAAACAGG
rnacentral:rRNA from 1 species